rnacentral:rRNA from 1 species
UACGUAGGGUGCGAGCGUUAAUCGGAAUUACUGGGCGUAAAGCGUGCGCAGGCGGUUCGCCAAGUCAGGUGUGAAAUCCCCAGGCUUAACCUGGGAAUUGCGCUUGAAACUAGCGGGCUUGAGUGUGGCAGAGGGGGGUGGAAUUCCACGUGUAGCAGUGAAAUGCGUAGAGAUGUGGAGGAACACCGAUGGCGAAGGCAGCCCCCUGGGUCAACACUGACGCUCAUGCACGAAAGCGUGGGGAGCAAACAGG